GGUUAAGCGACUAAGCGUACACGGUGGAUGCCCUGGCAGUCAGAGGCGAUGAAGGGCGUGCUAAUCUGCGAUAAGCGCCGGUAAGGUGAUAUGAACCGUUAUAACCGGCGAUACCCGAAUGGGGAAACCCAGUGUGAUUCGUCACACUAUCAUUAACUGAAUCCAUAGGUUAAUGAGGCGAACCGGGGGAACUGAAACAUCUAAGUACCCCGAGGAAAAGAAAUCAACCGAGAUUCCCCCAGUAGCGGCGAGCGAACGGGGAGGAGCCCAGAGCCUGAAUCAGC
rnacentral:rRNA from 1 species